rnacentral:rRNA from 1 species
UUUGAAUGGCCGCGGUAUUUUGACUGUGCUAAGGUAGCAUAAUCAUUAGUUUUUUAAUUAAAAGCUGGAAUGAAGGGUUGGAUGAAAAAUUAACUGUCUCUGAUUAAUUUUAUUAGAAUUUUAUUUUUAAGUUAAAAAGCUUAAAUAUUUUUAAAAGACGAGAAGACCCUAUAGAGUUUAAUAAAUAUAUAAUUUAUUAAUAUUUAGAAUUGAUUUUUAAUAAUUAUUAUUUAUUUAAUUGGGGUGAUUAAAAAAUUAAAAAAACUUUUUUUUAAAAAUUUAUAUUAAUUAAUAAAUUAAUGAUCCAAAAAUUUUGAUUAUAAGAUAAAUUACCUUAGGGAUAACAGCGUAAUUUUAUUAAAGAGUUCAAAUUAAAAAUAAAGUUUGCGACCUCGAUGUUGGAUUAAAAUUUAUAUUUGGUGUAGGAGCUAAAUAAUUUAAGUCUGUUCGACUUUUAAAAUUUUAC